GGGCGCUUAGCUCAGUUGGGAGAGCAUUCGCUUCACACGCGAGGGGUCACAGGUUCAAGUCCUGCAGUGCCCA
rnacentral:tRNA from 1 species